AAGACCGUACUUGUACAGGAUCAUUUCUACAGUACCUUCUUUCUACUUGAUUUUUCAAUCAAGAAACUACCAGUAACUUUGAUGAUCGAAUAAGACUUCUUGAGUUGAAUUGGGAUGUAGAUUCUGUGAAUUGUAUUAUAUACGAUUCAUAUAAUUAUUGAUGAACGUCCGCUGUCGUCAUUCCAAGACAGUGUGAGCUCUUGAAGUAGUAUGAGAAGU
rfam:Albugo candida, Ac Nc2, WGS project CAIX01000000 data, contig: AcNc2_CONTIG_567_length_13912